rnacentral:rRNA from 1 species
UAGGGAAUCUUCGGCAAUGGACGAAAGUCUGACCGAGCAACGCCGCGUGAGUGAAGAAGGUUUUCGGAUCGUAAAACUCUGUUGUUAGAGAAGAACAAGGACGUUAGUAACUGAACGUCACCUGACGGUAUCUAACCAGAAAGCCACGGCUAACUACGUGCCAGCAGCCGCGGUAAUACGUAGGUGGCAAGCGUUGACCGGAUUUAUUGGGCGUAAAGCGAGCGCAGGCGGUUUGUUAAGUCAGAUGUGAAAUCCCCGUGCUCAACCUGGGAACUGCAUCUGAUACUGGAAAGCUUGAGUCUCGUAGAGGGCGGUAGAAUUCCAGGUGUAGCGGUGAAAUGCGUAGAGAUCUGGAGGAAUACCGGUGGCGAAGGCGGCCCCCUGGACGAAGACUGACGCUCAGGUGCGAAAGCGUGGGGAGCAAACAGG